rnacentral:misc_RNA from 1 species
CAGCCGCGUAAUUCCGGCUCCAAUAGCGUAUAUUAAAGUUGUUGCAGUUAAAAAGCUCGUAGUUGAAUUUCGGGAUCAAUAUGUUGGUCGUGCCUUGGUACGUACUGGCGUCAUUGGUUUCUACCUUCUGAAGAACCUCGAUGUCAUUAAUUUGGUGUCUUGGGGAAUCAGGACUGUUACUUUGAAAAAAUUAGAGUGUUUAAAGCAAGCUCACGCUUGAAUACAUUAGCAUGGAAUAAUGAAAUAGGACGUUUGAUUCUAUUUUGUUGGUUUCUAGGAUCGACGUAAUGAUUAAUAGGGAUAGUUGGGGGCAUUAGUAUUCAAUUGUCAGAGGUGAAAUUCUUGGAUUUAUUGAAGACUAACUACUGCGAAAGCAUUUGCCAAGGAUGUUUUCAUUAAUCAAGAACGAAAGUUAGGGGAUCGAAGACGAUCAGAUACCGUCGUAGUCUUAACCAUAAACUAUGCCGACUAGGGAUCGGAUGAUGAUAAUUUUUUAAUGACUCAUUCGGCGCCUUACG